AAACUCAGAGGAAGUCUGAAUGAAGUAUGUACUUUAGUUAAUAACAAUGAAUCAAUACUAGUUUAUUAAUUGUAACAAAUGUACCAUACUAAUGUUAAGACA